UAAUAAUCAUUAAAAGGAAAAAAAUAGACCUGGUGCUGAAAAUGAAGGAAAAUGUUCUAUUUGGUAUGUCAUUAAAGAAAAUGUUUUUGUUUAGUUGUUGCUGAAUUAACUCCUUUUACGGACCUGCCAGCCACAUGGGCUCAGCUCAUUAUCAGCAGCAAUUCCUCAGUCGGGUGAGAGGUUCAUGGGCAUGGUGGACCGGGUCCAAAAUCAAGCACAUACAAAGAGUGAAGGUACAUUUGAAUUCAGGCAUGUCUGACCACAAGAGCUGUGACCUUUCCCCUGUCCCACGCUCCUCUUUUGACUACCAACGCUGGAAAGUAAUGUAUCUCUCAUUAAAGAUCACUGGGGGACCCCACUAAUCAGCAGAAUAUCAACUUAAAGAAUUGUGAGGAAGGGGUAACUCACUUUCCGGUCCCCCUUCUGUCUCUCUUCAACAAGCUUUCCUUCCCGCAAUAAAUUUUUCCUAUUCUUAACCUCUGUUGUUCCUAGAUUUCAUUCUUCAAUUUUGGAGAACACGAACUCGCGUUUCAGAUACCUAGCAGGUUUGGGAGUUAAAUCUCUUCCCCCUGUAUCACUCUUGCCACAGCCUCCACCUGCUGCAAGAUUAGAGGCAUGAGUGACCACACCUGGUUUAAAUACUUUUGAAAGUGUUUUUGAUGGUGAUGGCCUUUGAAGAGUCUGUCAAAAAAAAAUUCAACCUAAGAAUGCUUUUCUUUUUUUCUCCCUUUAAAUUUUUUUGUUUGUGUUGCAGUGCUAGUCACGGAACCAGGGCUUUCACACGGAGCUACAUCCCUAGGCCUUUUUAGGGUCUUGCUAAACCACUAACUUCCCCAGGCUGGGCUGGAGCUUGAGAUUCUUCUGACUCACCCUCCCACAGUGGCAGGAUUACAGCUAUGUGCUACCUGUGACAAAGCCAUCUUUAAGGCCACUUCAUUCUUUCGACCUGGCUAAUUAACUGGACACAAAGGCUGGGCGGUGCCUCAGGGCCCACUGAGGACACCGAUCCCUGGCCAAGCUGAAUUUCUAACCUAGCCGGAUUUCUAUUCCCAGCAUCCUCAGAGGCUCUUCCUUCUGGCUGCUCUUCCUCCAGGGCGGAGCUGCAGCUUCUCCGGGGCCAAGGCUGCAGGACCUUUUGGGGUGUGGACUUCCAGUGUGGGGUGAAGUGAGGUGAGAGUCUGCAACCCCAGUGACAACAGGAGGCCCCGCUGCUGCUCCUGGCCUCACUUGAGCACUGGGCUUCCUGCUCCUGACGAGAGAUGGAGUCAGCUGAGCUAAUACAGAAGAAAUAAGGAUGGUGGACAGCAGACAAGGAAAUUCCAUGAAGUGAGCAGUUUUAUUCUAUAGUUCACUUCCACCAUGAAGCACUGCCUCACCACAAGGACACAGCAAUGGAGUCAAUAAAUCAUGGACUGAAACUUCCAAAACUGAGCCAAAAUGAAUCUUUUCUCCUUGUGCCCCAAGUCGGACCCUCACCCAAGCCGACCCACUACCCACAUCCACAGGAGCACAGAGAUAACAAGAAGCCAGCAGCCUGUUUAUCAGCCACCCCCAGGCCCAUCAUCCAUGGGACUCUGAAAUUUUCCACACUCUCCACCAACGCCCCCUCCCCUACCUAAACUUCUCCAUAUCAACCGUGCACACCCUCCUUUCAGUGCCAAUGGCCUUCUCGCCUUUGACCCAUCUGCACCCAGAUGGCAAUAAACUCAUUGCAUGUUGCUUAGACUUUGCC